rnacentral:rRNA from 1 species
AUUGAACGCUGGCGGCAUGCCUUACACAUGCAAGUCGAACGGCAGCACGGGAGCAAUCCUGGUGGCGAGUGGCGAACGGGUGAGUAAUAUAUCGGAACGUGCCCAGUCGUGGGGAUAACGUAGCGAAAGCUACGCUAAUACCGCAUACGAUCUAAGGAUGAAAGCGGGGGAUCGCAAGACCUCGCGCGAUUGGAGCGGCCGAUAUCAGAUUAGCUAGUUGGUGAGGUAAAGGCUCACCAAGGCGACGAUCUGUAGCUGGUCUGAGAGGACGACCAGCCACACUGGGACUGAGACACGGCCCAGACUCCUACGGGAGGCAGGCAGUGGGGAAUUUUGGACAAUGGGCGCAAGCCUGAUCCAGCAAUGCCGCGUGCAGGAUGAAGGCC